UACGUAGGGUGCAGGCGUUAAUCGGAAUUACUGGGCGUAAAGCGUGCGCAGGCGGUUUCUUAAGUCAGAUGUGAAAGCCCCGGGCUUAACCUGGGAACUGCGUUUGAAACUGGGAGACUUGAGUGUGGCAGAGGGGGGUGGAAUUCCACAUGUAGCAGUGAAAUGCGUAGAUAUGUGGAGGAACACCGAUGGCGAAGGCAGCCCCCUGGGUUAACACUGACGCUCAUGCACGAAAGCGUGGGGAGCAAACAGG
rnacentral:rRNA from 1 species